UGGCAGGCAAGCCAGUAGCACAGGUGGAAGGUAGCCCAGAGAAGAGAUACACAUCCAACAGCAAAGGGCCAAUUUUGUAUGCAGAAGGCCACAGAUUCAAUCAAAAGCAUCAUCAGGCUUACGGUAUCCGGGGAGAAACUACAGGUUUCUAGAUGGCUAAACCAGAAUGAACAGAUUACUUGCUGCAAAGCAGCUGUAAUACUGCUGGAUCACUUCUCUUUAUUCUAAAGAAGAAAGACAUUAAAUAAAGGAUAUUUAUGAGCUACUGAAUGGUAUAUUUAUUAUCACUGCAAAAAGGACCAACCGACUUAGCAUCCCCUAACAUCGAUUCCAGCUAAAUAUCCCUCUGAGAAGCCAACUGUCAAAUCAUCUCCCACAACUCAAGAGGCAACGGUUUUCUUCUUUUGUUCCAUCCCCCUCUCCCCCACGUUUCUUUUCCACUGGCUAACUUUCAGCCUUCAGUGAGUAGAGUCAUAUCCAGCUCCUUU